rnacentral:rRNA from 1 species
GUCCUUUAGUUAAGAAUAAUUUAAGGUCUAACCUGCCCAUUGAUUAAAUUAAAAGGCCGCAGUAAUUUGACUGUGCAAAGGUAGCAUAAUCAUUAGUUUUUUAAUUAAAAGCUUGUAUGAAUGGUUGGACGAGAUAAAAUCUGUCUCUUUAUAAAAAUUAGAAUUUAAUUUUUAAGUUAAAAAGCUUAAAUUUGAGUAAAAGACGAGAAGACCCUAUAGAUCUUUAUAUAAUUUUUUUUAGUAUUAAUAAAGAAAAUUUUAUUUAUUAAUUAAUUUUAUAUUUUAUUGGGGUAAUAAAAAGAUUAAAUAAAUUCUUUAAAAUUUAACAAAAAUUAUUGAUUAUAUGAUCCAUUUUUAAUGAUUAUAAGAUUAAGUUACCUUAGGGAUAACAGCGUAAUUUUUUUAGAGAGUUCUUAUCAAUAAAAAAGUUUGCGACCUCGAUGUUGGAUUAAAAGUAAUUUUGGGUGUAGAAGUUCAAAAUUUUGGUCUGUUCGACCAUUAAAUUUUU